rnacentral:rRNA from 1 species
UGGGGAAUAUUGGACAAUGGGCGGAAGCCUGAUCCAGCAACGCCGCGUGAGGGAUGACGGCCUUCGGGUUGUAAACCUCUUUCAGCACCGACGAAGCGCCCGAUGGGUGGUGACGGUAGGUGCAGAAGAAGGACCGGCCAACUACGUGCCAGCAGCCGCGGUAAUACGUAGGGUCCGAGCGUUGUCCGGAAUUAUUGGGCGUAAAGGGCUCGUAGGCGGUUUGUCGCGUCGGGAGUGAAAACACCGGGCUUAACUCGGUGCUUGCUUUCGAUACGGGCAGACUAGAGGUAUGCAGGGGAGAACGGAAUUCCUGGUGUAGCGGUGAAAUGCGCAGAUAUCAGGAGGAACACCGGUGGCGAAGGCGGUUCUCUGGGCAUUACCUGACGCUGAGGAGCGAAAGUGUGGGGAGCGAACAGG